UUCAGAAAGGCAAGCAAGAGUGCAAGAGGAUCACCAGACCCUCAAUGGUCAGAAUCAGGUUUGCCUCAAAACUCAAUAUAUUGGUGAAGCUGGUCUUCAAAUCCUUGUCUACCUGCCUCUACUCACAAGUGCUAGGAUAACAGGAAUCAUUCCAAUGCCAAGAUUAUGUAUUCUGUUGUAUUCUGUGCCCUUG